GACGAACGCUGGCGGCGCGCCUAACACAUGCAAGUCGAACGAGAGAUGAGGAGCUUGCUCUUCAAAUCGAGUGGCGAACGGGUGAGUAACGCGUGAGGAACCUGCCUCAAAGAGGGGGACAACAGUUGGAAACGACUGCUAAUACCGCAUAAGCCCACGGCUCGGCAUCGAGCAGAGGGAAAAGGAGCAAUCCGCUUUGAGAUGGCCUCGCGUCCGAUUAGCUAGUUGGUGAGGUAACGGCCCACCAAGGCGACGAUCGGUAGCCGGACUGAGAGGUUGAACGGCCACAUUGGGACUGAGACACGGCCCAGACUCCUACGGGAGGCAGCAGUGGGGAAUAUUGCACAAUGGGGGAAACCCUGAUGCAGCGACGCCGCGUGGAGGAAGAAGGUCUUCGGAUUGUAAACUCCUGUUGUUGAGGAAGAUAAUGACGGUACUCAACAAGGAAGUGACGGCUAACUACGUGCCAGCAGCCGCGGUAAAACGUAGGUCACAAGCGUUAUCCGGAAUUACUGGGUGUAAAGGGAGCGCAGGCGGGAGAACAAGUUGGAAGUGAAAUCCAUGGGCUCAACCCAUGAACUGCUUUCAAAACUGUUUUUCUUGAGUAGUGCAGAGGUAGGCGGAAUUCCCGGUGUAGCGGUGGAAUGCGUAGAUAUCGGGAGGAACACCAGUGGCGAAGGCGGCCUACUGGGCACCAACUGACGCUGAGGCUCGAAAGUGUGGGUAGCAAACAGGAUUAGAUACCCUGGUAGUCCACACCGUAAACGAUGAUUACUAGGUGUUGGAGGAUUGACCCCUUCAGUGCCGCAGUUAACACAAUAAGUAAUCCACCUGGGGAGUACGACCGCAAGGUUGAAACUCAAAGGAAUUGACGGGGGCCCGCACAAGCAGUGGAGUAUGUGGUUUAAUUCGACGCAACGCGAAGAACCUUACCAAGUCUUGACAUCCCUUGACGAUGCUGGAAACAGUAUUUCUCUUCGGAGCAAGGAGACAGGUGGUGCAUGGUUGUCGUCAGCUCGUGUCGUGAGAUGUUGGGUUAAGUCCCGCAACGAGCGCAACCCUUAUGGUCAGUUACUACGCAAGAGGACUCUGGCCAGACUGCCGUUGACAAAACGGAGGAAGGUGGGGAUGACGUCAAAUCAUCAUGCCCUUUAUGACUUGGGCUACACACGUACUCCAAUGGCGUUAAACAAAGAGAAGCAAGACCGCGAGGUGGAGCAAAACUCAGAAACAACGUCCCAGUUCGGACUGCAGGCUGCAACUCGCCUGCACGAAGUCGGAAUUGCUAGUAAUCGUGGAUCAGCAUGCCACGGUGAAUACGUUCCCGGGCCU
rnacentral:rRNA from 1 species